GAAAGAGUCCUUUCUGAAGAAGAGCAGUCUGGCUAUGAAGAUGCAGAUAAGAUUCUUUCAGAAUCUGCAGUAGGAGUCACACCUGACUACUAUAAUGAUACCACUACCACUAAGGACCCAACAGAAGAGCAACAAAUCACACUGGAGAAUUAUGAUGAUGUAAUUCCUGUUGGACUAAUUCAUUGUGAUACAGAUGGCAUUCAAAAAAGCUAUGAUGAUGUCAUCCUCAUACGACAGUUCUUCAAUAAUAAAGCAGAGGGAGAUCUGGAAGAAUAUGAUGAUGCAAAGCAUGUCAGUGAAGAUGUAAGAGAUUUG